rnacentral:rRNA from 1 species
CGGCGGACGGGUGAGUAACACGUGGGCAACCUGCCCUGCAGAUCGGGAUAACUCCGGGAAACCGGUGCUAAUACCGAAUAGUUUUGGGUCCCUCCUGGGACCCAACGGAAAGACGGUUUCGGCUGUCACUGCAGGAUGGGCCCGCGGCGCAUUAGCUAGUUGGUGGGGUAACGGCCCACCAAGGGCACGAUGCGUAGCCGACCUGAGAGGGUGAUCGGCCACACUGGGACUGAGACACGGCCCAGACUCCUACGGGAGGCAGCAGUAGGGAAUCUUCCGCAAUGGACGCAAGUCUGACGGAGCAACGCCGCGUGAGUGAUGAAGGUUUUCGGAUCGUAAAACUUUGUUGCGAGGGAAGAAACCGUGCCAACUAACUA